UACGAAGGGGGCUAGCGUUGUUCGGAUUUACUGGGCGUAAAGCGCGUGUAGGCGGGUCGUUAAGUUGGGGGUGAAAUCCCGAGGCUCAACCUCGGAACUGCCUUCAAAACUGGCGACCUGGACUCAAGUAGAGGCAAGUGGAAUUGCGAGUGUAGAGGUGAAAUUCGUAGAUAUUCGCAGGAACACCAGUGGCGAAGGCGACUUGCUGGACUUGUAGUGACGCUGAGACGCGAAAGCUUGGGGAGAAAACAGG
rnacentral:rRNA from 1 species